AUGCUUCAUCCACGACAACAGGGACAGCGUUUACCCAAAGUACAUUGGGUCAACCAGUAGACAAUGAUAUUGACUGGGAAUUCAUCGUCAUCAUUACCGGUGCUUGUUUGGUGUCGAUACUUCUCUCAGCUAUCGUCAUUCUAAUAAUAGUACAGCGGUACACUAAGCCAUCAAGUGAAGGGUCGUUUCGAGAUAUCGAAGAUCGUCUAAGACACUCACCAGGCAAUAACUUAGAUGAAACAGAUCUACAUGAUGUGCACCUUCCCUGGCACAAAAAUCCUCCGAGUUUGUAUGUUUACCAGUCUGCUAUUCUAAACGAAAUGACAGAAUCGGAAGUCUAGACUAUCAAUCAGGCCAUUGAUGACGAAUCCAAUCCGAAACCGUCCGAAGAAAAGUCCGAAGAUAACAUGACU
rnacentral:lncRNA from 1 species